CCAGACCGCCAGCUAAGGUCCCAAAGUCAUGGUUAAGUGGGAAACGAUGUGGGAAGGCCCAGACAGCCAGGAUGUUGGCUUAGAAGCAGCCAUCAUUUAAAGAAAGCGUAAUAGCUCACUGGUCGAGUCGGCCUGCGCGGAAGAUGUAACGGGGCUAAACCAUGCACCGAAGCUGCGGCAGCGACACUAUGUGUUGUUGGGUAGGGGAGCGUUCUGUAAGCCUGUGAAGGUGGCCUGUGAGGGUUGCUGGAGGUAUCAGAAGUGCGAAUGCUGACAUAAGUAACGAUAAAGCGGGUGAAAAGCCCGCUCGCCGGAAGACCAAGGGUUCCUGUCCAACGUUAAUCGGGGCAGGGUGAGUCGACCCCUAAGGCGAGGCCGAAAGGCGUAGUCGAUGGGAAACAGGUUAAUAUUCCUGUACUUGGUGUUACUGCGAAGGGGGGACGGAGAAGGCUAUGUUGGCCGGGCGACGGUUGUCCCGGUUUAAGCGUGUAGGCUGGUUUUCCAGGCAAAUCCGGAAAACCAAGGCUGAGGCGUGAUGACGAGGCACUACGGUGCUGAAGCGACAAAUGCCCUGCUUCCAGGAAAAGCCUCUAAGCAUCAGGUAACAUCAAAUCGUACCCCAAACCGACACAGGUGGUCAGGUAGAGAAUACCAAGGCGCUUGAGAGAACUCGGGUGAAGGAACUAGGCAAAAUGGUGCCGUAACUUCGGGAGAAGGCACGCUGAUAUGUAGGUGAAGCGACUUGCUCGUGGAGCUGAAAUCAGUCGAAGAUACCAGCUGGCUGCAACUGUUUAUUAAAAACACAGCACUGUGCAAACACGAAAGUGGACGUAUACGGUGUGACGCCUGCCCGGUGCCGGAAGGUUAAUUGAUGGGGUUAGCGGUAACGCGAAGCUCUUGAUCGAAGCCCCGGUAAACGGCGGCCGUAACUAUAACGGUCCUAAGGUAGCGAAAUUCCUUGUCGGGUAAGUUCCGACCUGCACGAAUGGCGUAAUGAUGGCCAGGCUGUCUCCACCCGAGACUCAGUGAAAUUGAACUCGCUGUGAAGAUGCAGUGUACCCGCGGCAAGACGGAAAGACCCCGUGAACCUUUACUAUAGCUUGACACUGAACAUUGAGCCUUGAUGUGUAGGAUAGGUGGGAGGCUUUGAAGUGUGGACGCCAGUCUGCAUGGAGCCGACCUUGAAAUACCACCCUUUAAUGUUUGAUGUUCUAACGUUGGCCCGUAAUCCGGGUUGCGGACAGUGUCUGGUGGGUAGUUUGACUGGGGCGGUCUCCUCCUAAAGAGUAACGGAGGAGCACGAAGGUUGGCUAAUCCUGGUCGGACAUCAGGAGGUUAGUGCAAUGGCAUAAGCCAGCUUGACUGCGAGCGUGACGGCGCGAGCAGGUGCGAAAGCAGGUCAUAGUGAUCCGGUGGUUCUGAAUGGAAGGGCCAUCGCUCAACGGAUAAAAGGUACUCCGGGGAUAACAGGCUGAUACCGCCCAAGAGUUCAUAUCGACGGCGGUGUUUGGCACCUCGAUGUCGGCUCAUCACAUCCUGGGGCUGAAGUAGGUCCCAAGGGUAUGGCUGUUCGCCAUUUAAAGUGGUACGCGAGCUGGGUUUAGAACGUCGUGAGACAGUUCGGUCCCUAUCUGCCGUGGGCGCUGGAGAACUGAGGGGGGCUGCUCCUAGUACGAGAGGACCGGAGUGGACGCAUCACUGGUGUUCGGGUUGUCAUGCCAAUGGCACUGCCCGGUAGCUAAAUGCGGAAGAGAUAAGUGCUGAAAGCAUCUAAGCACGAAACUUGCCCCGAGAUGAGUUCUCCCUGAGACUUAGAGUCUCCUGAAGGAACGUUGAAGACGACGACGUUGAUAGGCCGGGUGUGUAAGCGCAGCGAUGCGUUGAGCUAACCGGUACUAAUGAACCGUGAGGCUUAACCUUACAACGCCGAAG
rnacentral:rRNA from 1 species